AGUAGUUUAGUUGGAUAAAACAUUAGCCUCCGGAGCUAAAGAGCGAGGGUUCGAGUCCCUCCUG
rnacentral:tRNA from 1 species